UACGGAGGGUGCAAGCGUUAUCCGGAUUCACUGGGUUUAAAGGGUGCGUAGGUGGGCAAGUAAGUCAAUGGUGAAAUCUCCGGGCUUAACCCGGAAACUGCCAUUGAUACUAUUUGUCUUGAAUACUGUGGAGGUCAGCGGAAUAUGUCAUGUAGCGGUGAAAUGCUUAGAUAUGACAUAGAACACCAAUUGCGAAGGCAGCUGGCUACACAAAUAUUGACACUGAGGCACGAAAGCGUGGGGAUCAAACAGG
rnacentral:rRNA from 1 species